AUGAAGCUGGAAUCGCUAGUAAUCGCAGAUCAGAAUGCUGCGGUGAAUACGUUCCCGGGUCUUGUACACACCGCCCGUCACACCAUGGGAGUCGGAAAUGCCCGAAGUCGGUGACCUAACUGAAAGGAAGGAGCCGCCGAAGGCAGGUCUGGUGACUGGGGUGGAAGUCGUAACAAGGUAGC
rnacentral:rRNA from 1 species